AUUGAACGCUGGCGGCAUGCCUUACACAUGCAAGUCGAACGGUAACAGGUCUUCGGAUGCUGACGAAUGGCGAACGGGUGAGUAAUACAUCGGAACGUGCCUAGUAGUGGGGGAUAACUACUCGAAAGAGUGGCUAAUACCGCAUGAGAUCUACGGAUGAAAGCAGGGGAUCGCAAGACCUUGUGCUACUAGAGCGGCCGAUGGCAGAUUAGGUAGUUGGUGGGAUAAAAGCUUACCAAGCCGACGAUCUGUAGCUGGUCUGAGAGGACGAUCAGCCACACUGGGACUGAGACACGGCCCAGACUCCUACGGGAGGCAGCAGUGGGGAAUUUUGGACAAUGGGCGCAAGCCUGAUCCAGCAAUGCCGCGUGCAGGAUGAAGGCCUUCGGGUUGCAAACUGCUUUCGUACGGAACGAAAAGCCCUGGGUUAAUACCCUGGGGUCAUGACGGUACCGUAAGAAUAAGCACCGGCUAACUACGUGCCAGCCGCCGCAGUAA
rnacentral:rRNA from 1 species